CAUCUACUCUCUCCGUUCGGAAUUACUUGUCUCAAAAAUGGAUGUAUCUAGAAGUAAAAUACGUCUAGAUACAUCCAUUUCUACGACAAGUAAUUCUGAACGGAGGGAAUACAAC
rnacentral:pre_miRNA from 1 species